rnacentral:sRNA from 10 species
CAAGUUGAAAAAUGGUGUCUAAAUAUUAUCAGCAGGACGAGGGAGAUAUAACCCUCACAAGAUGCAGAAUUUAUCCUCACAGAUUUGUAUCUUGACCGUAGUU